GUCCUUUAGUUAUUAAUUUAAGGUCUAACCUGCCCAUUGAAAAUUUUAAAAGGCUGCGGUAUUUUGACCGUACAAAGGUAGCAUAAUCAUUAGUUUUUUAAUUGAAAACUCGUAUGAAUGGUUGAAUGAGAUACUAACUGUUUUUAAAAAUAUAUUGAAUUUUACUUUUUAAUUAAAAGGUUAAAAUAAUUAUAAAAGACGAGAAGACCCUAUAGAGUUUUAUAUAUAAUUAUAUUUAUUAAAUAAAGAUUUAUAAUUAUUAAAUAAAAUUAUAUAUUUUAUUGGGGUGAUAAUAAAAUUUAAUAAACUUUUAUUUAAUAUUACAUUAAUAUAUGAAUAAUUGAUCCAUUUUUAAUGAUUAAAAGAUUAAAUUACCUUAGGGAUAACAGCGUAAUUUUUUUUUAAGUUCAUAUUAAUAAAAAAGUUUGCGACCUCGAUGUUGGAUUAAGAUUAAUUUUAGGUGCAGAAGUUUAAAAUUUAAGUCUGUUCGACUUUUAAAUUCUU
rnacentral:rRNA from 1 species